AUUAGUUCAAUUAAUAUUUAUAUUUUUUAUUAUUAUUAUUCUUUUACCGACUGUUGUUUGCCGAGGACACACCUUAUUAACUGUUGGGUUGCGUCUCGGCUAAAUUGUCGCACUUUGUAAACAGCUGUUGAUCUGUUCCCACUUUGGGUGACAAGAUCAGCUGUAUUUAUUAUCACUUAACUUUAUUUAAGAAAUCAGUUAAUAUCUAUCUCACUCCCUUCAAAUUCAAGUGAAAAAGGAAAAACUGAUGUUCCCCGCGCUAUAAUCGAGCAAGGGGUUUCGCACUCGGGGAGCUCUUCAAUUAUCAACUUCCCACAACACUUUCAUCAC